UGAUGAAGGAAGAAAAUUUCACAUUUACCCUCUUCAUUUCUUUCCAUUGACGAGACGAAGGAAGAAAAUAUUUGGGACACUAAUCUCCGCCCUCCCACUCGGUUGGUGACAACGAGAAAUUCCCAGCCGUUAAUUUUUUUAAAAAAGAAAAAGCAAAUAACUCAACAUCUUAAUCCAGUCGUCCUCCCACACGAUCGGCGAUGAAAAUAGAAGAAAAAGAGGGUUAAAUUCUUCAAAACCCAUAAUCUUAAUUUAAUUUUAAGGUUAGUAUUCUUCAAGUUAUGAUUAAAGUUGGUCGAUUGCCCAAAAUCACUUAUAUACAUCUUUGAGAAGAGGUAUAAGCUUUGGCUAAGAAUUUUAGAAUUUCAGAAAUUAGGAUUGAUUGAGCUUUAUAACUUUGACUAGUUUAUUAUUAAUUAGAACUCAGACAAUGGUCAUCGAGUAUCUAAUAUAUAUCUCAUAUGCAUCUAUAUAUAAAGAAAAUUGUAAAGGUAUGCUACCUCAAUUGCUUUUCUAUUUGAUAACGGAUGCAGUUGAACCCAGUUCUUGAAGCAUUUGGAAAUGUCAAAACCAUCGAAAACAACUCUAGGUGAGUGAAUCUGUUGAACUUCUUUAGUAUAACAUAUUCAGAAUUGUACUUUGACAAUUGAAUAUGUUUGUUUGAAAAAGCUAACUACAAGGGCAUUAAUUUUAAUAGUAUUGCAUCAUACAAUCGUUUUGGUAAAUUUGUUGAGCUCCAAACUGAUAAAAGUGGAAGGAAUAUAUGAAGCAGCUGUUAGAACUUACAUGCUGGAGAGAUCUUUUGUUUGCCAUAGUAAAUCUGAGAUUUUAUUGAAGUAAAUACAAAUGCGCACUCCAUCAAUGAAUGAACAAUCUAGUACUUAAGUUUAUGUAAUUUUACUAUUGUUUUCAUGGUACAUGCAGUUUUAUUUUGAUGAGGGGGCUUAUUGACUUUGCAGGUAAUGGAGUUUUCAAAUUUUGAGAUGGAGGGUAACAAGGUAACCUUUACAUGACACGGAGUGCAAAAAAACUCAUUGCCAGUUGGAUUUGUGACUUUUUCAUGUGGAGUUAUCACCCACUUCGUUGUAUCUUGAAUUUGAUGGCUUGGUAGAUGAAGGUAAAUUUAGUUCUUUUCCUACUGGUUUCAUUUUCACUGCAGGCAUUCACAAUACAAUGUCGCCUAGGAUUUUUUGGUUCAAAAGUACUAGUUAUGUCUAUGAGCAUAAUCUUUGAAUGAUUUACUCAAGUUGAUUGCUGAUUGAAUUUAAUUUAGGAUAUUUUUAUACCACUGCUGUGAGUUUCUAUUGAGUCGGGCAUGUACGAUACUCACCUUUUUGUUUCAUUUUUCAUGAUUUAUCUCCAUCAGUUGGUAGAGGAUUUAAGUUAGUUUUCCCUUCUUUUUUCUCAUACAUUUAGUAAGUAGGGAAACAAAAUAAAGAGGAAAUGACUUUUUGCUUCAUUUGCAUGAUCAUAUCUGUUUCUCUAUUAGGUUAUUUACUUUUGAAUGUGGAGUCCCACUUCCUUGUAGCUCAAUUAUCUUUUGAAGGUUGGUACUGCUCAUGUCUGGUCCAAAAGUAGUAGUUAUAUAUGCUUCAUCUAUGAGUCUAAUCUUUGAAUUUUUAGCCUUAUCGUGCUCAAGUUAUUUUGUCCUUCCUUGUAACUUGGUUAUAUUGUUAGUAUUAUUAACAUUAUUGAGAUGAUUAAACCUUCUCUCAUCAACCUCCGUGAUCUAUAUUUUCUAUAUUGAAAUCUAAAUUAUUUUCAUAUAACUCUCUUCAAGAAGAUUUCUUCAUAUCCUAUAGAAAAUCUGCAGCUAUCUCAAACCACCCCCUAUUGCCACUCAAGUUUUUCAGGUUAGCCUUCUCAUUUUUUAUUUCUAUUUUGUAUACUCUUCCAAAUUACUGUUAUGUACCUAUUACUCGAUUGCGGUGGUAUCUAAAGAGCAUAUGGAUGGAUUUUACAAAGCUAUUUGGAUGGACUCUUUUAAAAAGUUCCCUAAGAAGUAUAUAAAUUCAGAUGCAGGUUGAUUUUUCUUUGAUUGUAUGACAAGUUUAAGCUACAAUUCAAACGAGGGUAACAUACGGUGAUGGAGAUCUGAUGUAACAUCAUAUUGAAAGGUUUGGCACUUCUUCUCAAGUUGAAAACUUAAUUAUGUGUCCUUUAUAUGUGAAUUGUAUGUAAAUUGUAUUGGAUGUGCCUGGAUACUAUAAAAAUUACUUUGCAACACCCUUCUAUACCAUUUGGUUACCAAUGUUUGAUAGGCAUGGUGGAAACGUAAGUAUGAUAUACGUUGUGGGAUGAUUUUGAUCAACACCCUUAUUAUACCCAUAGUUUUUGCUUGUUGUAUGCUAGCACACUGGGUGACACCUUUGUGCUCAAAUCUUUUGUAAAUUUUAGGCUACGACGAGACUUAAAAAUGGACAGUACUAAUAGUGAAAUGAUUUUGUUGGGGCUGAUGGGAUAGUGGUUAAAGGUAUCUCCUCAUUUUAUAUAAUGAGUAAGAUGAUCAAGUUGAAGAUCAAACAUUUUUACAUUGUUCAUACAAUUAGUUCUAACUCUUGCCCACUUUGCUUUGUAGAUUGAUGUGUGAAUGCCAAAUUUUGGUUAAGGAAGAAGCAUGUUCAUCUCGGACAUGGAUCGAUGUUCUUUUGUUUUGUUGGAACAUGGAUAUUCAAAUGGCAAUGAUUUUGAGUUUUGUUGAUGGAGUUUUGUGGGCUGCACCCACAUGCCCGUAGUUUAUAGAGAGCACCAAUAGUUAAUAAGGAAAGAAAAGAGGUGGACUCUUAGUUUUUAGUAUGCAUAGAAUGACUUUGUUAUAAAAAUUUCUAUGUUAUAUUGCGAAGCAUGAUCAAUUUAUCCAGAAACUAAAUUUGUC
rnacentral:lncRNA from 1 species